rnacentral:tRNA from 1 species
GGUGGCUCAGUGGUAGAGCACUUGCCUUGCAUGCACGAGGCCCUGGGUUCGAAUCCUCAGCACCA